AACGGAAAUGCCACUAGAUCUGUCUUAGCAAACGUGCACGCAAUUAGGUAAUGUCCAGGCUGGAGUGAACUAAAAUGAACUCUUCAAUACAUGCUCUGGAUCUGUACUUGGGUGCACUUUGCCGAUCACCCCUGAUGCGCCAGUCUGCACAUCUCAUCGUUAGGGUCCAUUUCUGUAGGAGACAGGGCACCUACUCUUAGCACGAUGUGGGACGGAUUGAGUCUUAUUAGCGCUUUUUUGGCCUAGGGGUUGUAUCCUGAACAUGGGAAUGGGGAGCAACAGGUGGACAUGGUGGGCUUUUCGUUAACCCAUUUAUGUUCUGUUGGGGUGCAACCUUCUGGCGUCCUCGCUUGGUUACCGCAUCGACCAUGCAAUAAGUAGCAAAUUUGGAACGCAGUGUGCUGUAACAUGCGCGGAUUCCUUGUCUCCAGUCUCAGUUACCAGCUCCGUUUGCACUACAAGCCUUAUGUUCAUCUUCAAAAGUUUCUCAUGGCUUCUUCUUUUUUCCCUUUGUAUUUGCUUUUUGGCUCUUGGCAUCCGUUGACCAAUUUGAACUAGAGCAAUCGGUUGUUGUAGUCUAUAUUCUUCAUGUACAUCCUAUACCGUAAUCGCAGCAAACUAUUUUGUUCAGGAACUUGCCCUAGGAGAGUGCGCUGCUUAGCUGGGUGGAACUUUUCGAAGAGUUUUUUGAUUUCCUCUCCGGAACGGUUUGAUAUAUAUGUUCUUUGAUCAUAAUCUCACUGUGUUGACAGCUGAUGCACGUUAACAUGGACGUGCUUCUCUUUGUAUUAGUAGCAAAUGUCCAGCCAAGGUUGUCGAAUUGAUUCUCAGCUAUCAACUUCUGUGCUCCUUGCCUGUUCUACUGUUCAAUUCGGGACAUCAUGUCUGUGAAACCGUGCUUGUAUUUGUUUUAAGUUUUCAGGUGAAUGGUAGAGAUUCAUUAAGCUAUAACGCAUGUCUCUGAAAAGUCAUGCUUUCACCUUACGAAGAUAUCAUUAUCUGUAUUGAAGCAGGAUCUUAGAACCUCCAAACUGCAGAAAUUGAAAAAGGAUUGCUCCCACUUCGCAUGGUCCUGAGCGGCUUGCAUACUGCCUAGUGGAAUACGCAUGCAAACGGAUAACCGACUGUAUUGCUUAGGGAAAUCAAUCCCAAUUGAUCAUGGCACUUAGAGCUAAGAUCUCGUAAUAUUGAUUCCGAGAGCAAUUGUAGUUGCGCUUGUGAUCGGAUAUUGAAGUCUUUUCAUACACACACAGAACUAUAUAUAUAUAAGUAUAAAUGUAUGUAUGUUUGCAGUAUUUUAUGAAAAGGGUGUUUUACGUUUUUUUGCAGGUGUCACUUUGGGUGUCGAAAGCGUUGGGAGGUUUUAAAGCUCUGUCGCUCACUUACAUCUUGGAGUACUGCAUCUUCACAUUCGUCAGAUUUUUCUAUCUGUUGUCAUAUCCCCGGAAUUUUGAAUCAGGUACAUACCUAGCAUCUUCAGAUAAGCACGUGAUCACGUUCAUACGGAUCAGUCGCUAACUCUCUUACGGAGAGCAUAGUGUGGUUUGAUAACAGUGGUGCAGAAGCUCUGCGAAGUUGAAGAUGCAGCACUACAAGAAGUGCGUGAGCGACGGGCUAUAUGAAAGACAUGCUGCCGUUUGCGCUUAACUGCAUAAACACUGCUUUUGGUUCCAGCAUCUGCCUUCGGCAUUGUCUCAGACUCGAAGAUGCCAAUUCAGCACCCACCGGUUACUUAAUUCCGUUGUGCGUAGAUGCCCAGUAACAUUAUUGGGUUCAGGAACUGAACAGACACUGACAAAGUUGUCAACGCCUCAAGGUUGGGAGGACCGCUGAUUUGGGUCUUGACACUCAGUUCAAUCCAGCAGCUUGGCAAACUCUCUCAAUUCCCCCCCCACCUGGUCAGUCAUCCAUGGCGGCGUCAAAUCGUAGGUUCAUCCACACUGCUGCAGUGCAUCGUUUCUCCUUCUCUACCAAUCUCCUUAGUACUUAUACAUAAACAAGAGCCAAGUGUGUGACCAAUGUCCUGGUCGCUGAGUGGCGUGACUGAUCUUUUAUUCUUCUUCUGUUUUUUCGAAUUCUUAGAUACGCAGUUUACUGUAACUGGCACAAUAAUACAUCUAUAUGGAAAAGUGUUCGUUGACGUGCCGGGAUUCGUUUGCUGGAGCGCUUUGCGGAUGGGGUAGGUCACAUGGUCCCGACAUCCACGACACGCUAAAUACGCUGUCGACUAGACAAACUUCGCUAGCAGCUGAAUAGAAUAUUUUUGGACUCCUUAAACUUAGCAACAGCCGGAUUGGAAAGCCUUAACUAUUGCCUCGAUCAAUUGGGCUAUAACUGUGGUUGCUAAGUCCCGGGUUGAAGUCUGCGAAGGAGUUGUAUUUAGGAUGUAACAUGGAGCCUACGUGACUCGUUCAGGUACAUGUAAUCUACAGGAAGUAGAAUAACACAUCCUCUUGGGUCUGCAGUAGGAUCAGAACCUUUCACUGUUUGUUCAGUUACCACCAAUGAGGAACGUAGAUUAUUGAGUUGUGAAUGGGAAACAUCAAGAAGUAAGUUCUUAGAGGUAUACGGCUAAAUUUGUUGCAGUUCAUUUUUUACAUAUUAGAUUGCUGUUCAGGAAAUCCGUUCACGUGAUUCUCAAGCAACUGCAUUUUAGUAAAGAUGGCUUUUUUGACCUUCCACAUUGCACGAUUGCCACUAUUAACUAUAUAUGUCACCGGAGAUCCAUGACAAUUGCUAGCAGCCAGCACAUCAGUCAUGAAAUAUUACUUUGCGGCAGCAGCAUCUCGCCUUGACGAAUUCGUAUCGUGCGUCGUACGCAACGGGAACCUUCGAUGGAAUCAUGUAUCGGGUCAUUAAGAUAUAUAAGGUGGGAGGUGGGAGGAAGACUGUCUUCAGAUCAUGGUGCAUAGCCUCGUCCACCGAUCCUUCUGCAUCGAGUCUUAUCGUCUAAGCUACGAUGUUUGGACCUAGCUGUAAGUCUCUCAACAUUUCACGAAGUGCUUCUGCAAUUAUUCGUUUGGGAUUCACCGCACGAAUUUUAUACGUCUGCGCAUACUUCAAUUCGACAAUAAAGACGGAUAUGCAUGUUUGUGUGCUCCACGCGGGCAAACAGUCAGAUCAUGCAUUGUGUGUGGUUGUCACCGGAAUAAGGACCUAGCAUGCACAGUGGAGGAAAUUGAGCAGAUUCAUAGACUGUACACCAAAAAUUCUUAUAUCCUGCGCGAGGAGAGGCAUCAAGAAAGGAUAUCAUUCUGAAAUUUUAAUAUUUUCAACCAUUUUGAAGGCACUGUUGAGAUUGACGUACAGCAUCGAUCCUGAGGUUCAGUAUAGUUUAGAAUCCUCACGAUCGGAAAGGGUAGUGAGAGUUUCCUCUCGGACUGCAGAUGUCGGGUCCCAAUUAGCGUCGAGAACUGGAGGUAUCUUUCUCGGUACAGGACAAGUAAUUACAGACUGAACACCCUAUGUAUUUACCCGCUGAUGCAGAGUCCUCUUCGCCUCCCUCGGGGAAUGCGGUAUGUCUCAGCUCUUGUAAUUGGCAUUCGAUUGAUAGUUAUUCCAUGUCACAAACUCAUUAAUGGAAAAGUAAUUAUCUGCCGGAUUUUACUCAAAAUCCAUAUGCUACGAUUUCUCCCAUCAAUCUUAAA